rnacentral:rRNA from 1 species
CAUUGAAACACCGGUUCUCGUACGAUCACUGAAGUUAAGCAGCAUCAAGCCUGGUUAGUACUUAGAGGGGUGACCGCUUGGAAAUACCAGAUGCUGUA